GACGAACGCUGGCGGCGUGCUUAAUACAUGCAAGUCGAACGGAAAGGCCCUGCUUUUGUGGGGUGCUCGAGUGGCGAACGGGUGAGUAACACGUGAGUAACCUGCCCUUGACUUUGGGAUAACUUCAGGAAACUGGGGCUAAUACCGGAUAGGAGCUCCUGCUGCAUGGUGGGGGUUGGAAAGUUUCGGCGGUUGGGGAUGGACUCGCGGCUUAUCAGCUUGUUGGUGGGGUAGUGGCUUACCAAGGCUUUGACGGGUAGCCGGCCUGAGAGGGUGACCGGCCACAUUGGGACUGAGAUACGGCCCAGACGGCUACGGGAGGCAGCAGUGGGGAAUAUUGCACAAUGGGCGGAAGCCUGAUGCAGCAACGCCGCGUGCGGGAUGACGGCCUUCGGGUUGUAAACCGCUUUCGCCUGUGACGAAGCGUGAGUGACGGUAAUGGGUAAAGAAGCACCGGCUAACUACGUG
rnacentral:rRNA from 1 species